rnacentral:lncRNA from 1 species
UUUUUUUUUUUUUUUUUGCCUUUACUAGGGCCCCUCCUCCUGGGAACCUCCAUAUGCCUCGGGUGUGGCCCCAGAAAAGACAAAAAAUAAAAAUUAAAAAAAUACAUACAUAAAAAAAGAAAGAAAAAGUUGUCCAGCCUUCACCACUGUCUGUGACAGAACAUGUCACGCCCCAGAAAGCACCCCCACCCAUUAGCAGUCACUUCUUUCNCCCCCCCCCCCCCCGCCCCCGCCCCAAGUCACUAAUCUAUUUUCUGUCUCUCUGGCUUUGCCUCUUCUGGACACGAUGUAAAUGGAAUCAUACAGUGUGUGGCCUUUUGUGCCUGGCUCAUGUCACCUGUUUUCAAAGUUUAGACUCGUGCAGCAAGUGUCGGUACUUCAGUUCUUUUCUGUUUUUGCUUUUGUGGGCCACACUGUGGCAUGUGGGAGUUCCCGGCCUGCAUCACAGCCACAGCAACGCCGGGUCCUUAACCCACCAAGACCGGAGAUUGGAGCCCCGUCCCCAUGGAAGCUAGCCGUGGACAUUUGGGCCACUUCCGCUUUGUGCUACUGUGAAUCCUCGUUCACGUGGCUUUGCAUGGACACGUGUUUUCUGUUUUCUUGGGUCCAUACCUGGGAGUGGGAUUGCUGGCUCAGGUGUCCUUCUUUAAACUUACUGAGGAUCAGGGAGCCCGUUGUACCCGCCCAGCUGCAGUGCUGCAGGGUUCCAGUGCCCAUUUGCUCCCUGGCACUCACGCAGCCCUGUCUGAGGAUGUGUUUCUGUUACUUAUGUGUAACUCCAUCACCGAAUACGAGCCAUGUGUGCUCAGUGGCAAAUGAGACUGGCACGUGCACUGGUACAUAGUUGACCUCUAAGAAUGGGCUUUUUGUGUUUGUUUUUUUUUUUCCCUUUUUGGCCUCCCACAGAAUGGGGAAGUUCCUGGGCCGGGGAUCAGACCUGAGCCACAGCAAUGAGAAUACCAGAUCCAUAACUGCUAGGCCACCAGGGAACUCCAGGCUUUCUGUGUUUUCAAUGCUUUGUUCUUUGAGAAAAGUCACCAUAAAAGUAUGUGGUAUUGGCUGUUACCAUUUCUGAAUGUAUGAAAACCAUUAGGGUGUGGUUAGAGGAGCCUUUCCCUUUUUCAUUCUUUUUUUUUUUUUCUUAAAUUAUAGUUGAUUUACAGUGUUGUGCCAGUGUCUGCCAUUGUGAGUCAGUUAUACAUAUGCAUACAUUCUUAUUUUUUAUAUUGUUUUUCAUCCUGGUCUGUCCCAGGAGAGUGGAGAUAGUUCCCUGAGCUGUACAGCAGGACCCCAUUGCUUAUCUGUUCUGAAUAAUUUGCGUCUGUUAAUCCCAGACUCCCCGUCCAUCCCACUCCCCCUUGGCAGCUACACGUCUGUUCUCUGUGUCUCUGAGUCUGUCUCUCUCUCGUAGGGAGGCUCAUUUCCGCAUGUAAGUGAUGGAAAUGGGAUUUGUCUUUCUCUCUCUGACUUGGUGCUGCUCUCUGGUUAGGCAGUGAGGUCUUUUCUUGGUGGAGCACAGCAGACGCACUUGUGUCCCCUGCCUUGGGCCAAGUAGAAGGCACUUUUGCAGCUAGGGUAGGAGUCGGGGUCCUGCGUAGGCCUGGCUUAUGAGGGUCCCAAGCUGUGCCGAGACGGGGGACCUGCCCAUGGGAACGCGGGCGCCAGCCCUUCAGCUCUGGGAGGUGGGUUCACUCUGACGCAACAACGAGACUGAGCUGAUGAUGUUAGGAAACGAAGGAGAAGGGAAUCGUUGCUGAGUGGACGUAACGAAACGAGGUGAAGGCUAAGUGGCCUCUCACUAGAAACUGCUUUCUGCUCCGGAGAAUAGGGACGGGGGUGACCCUCGGGUUUUUAAUCCAGCCCGGAACUCUUGUUUUGAAGUCCUAAAUCUCGUUUAACUGUAACCCUAGGAUAAGAGAAAACAUGGAUGACCGCCCCGAGAUUGGACCCCCAGCCCCCGCGUGCACCUGAACUUGAGAUGAGGCAGCCCCGGCGUCUCUCCUUCCAGGUCCGUCGGCGCCCGCCAUGCUUCCCGGGCCUUUGUCUUCCCUCCUCCUGGUCGGCCGUGGUUCCCGAGCUUGGACGCUGGUUCAGAGCCCAGUGAAACAUCUGCCUCCCUGCCCUUUGCCCUGAGGAGGCGGCGAGAUGGCUUCCGCCUGCGGUUCCUCUCGGCAGGACCCCGUGUGCUGACGGCCUCCCCGGAGCCAGCGGCACUUGAGAGGGGCCUUAGGAAGGGAAAGGAAAACGAGUCCUCUUUUCUGGUGAUUCCAGACGGAAAACGUCCGCCUUUUCAAAGUGUGUCGUCUUAAAAAUGGUUUAAUACCAUCAAAGGAGACCCGGCCACAGACACGAGCUCCGUUUCUCCCUUUUGCUGUUUCCGCCCUUUUUUUUUUUUUUUUAAGGGGUAAUAAUGUUUUCUAUUAUUUUUGUUCAUUUAUACCUCAAGUUUUAUAGGAUUGCGCACACUAUGUGGUAUUUCUGGUGGAAUUGUGACAAUGCCAUAUUGUCAUCCUCAUGGUUCUCAAAGCUAUUCAUUUAUUUUUUGGCUUUUUCGGGCCACAUCUGCGGCAUAUGGAGGUUCCCAGGCUAGGGGUGGAAUCAGAGCUACAGCUGCCAGUCUACACCACAGCCACAGCAACGCCAGGUCCGAGCCGCAUCUGCAACCUACAGCACAGUUCACGGCAAUGCUGGAUCCUUAACCCACUGAGGGAGGCCAGGGAUCGAACCUGCGUCCUCAUGGAUGCUAGUGGUAUUCGUUUCCUCUGAGCCACAACGGGACUCCAGCAGGGGACAUGUUCUUCUCUUCCAUGGAACCCAGGCUGCCCCACCCUGUUUGUGAUUUAAAGGCCCAGGAGUUUUCGUUUCUGACCAGGUGGGGCUGUGGACUGUUUUCAGACCCCUCAGAGGAGUUCUUCUCUGUGAGCUCACAACAAAAUUGUGAAUUCUCAAUAUUUUUUUAUUUAAGACCUGCUCAUUGAUUCUACUCCAGUAAAUUAUUGUUUCUAACUAAAACCUCUGUUGUUUUAGAACAUACUAUAGAUUAUCAUUUUCUGAUUUCUAACAAAGAAUUUGUUUUUUCAGGUCAUGUCAUCUUGUGGGAGAAGCUAUUUCAAUGAGCCGGGAGAAGCAAACCAGGACAUUGCUGUUAUCUGCGGAUACGUGGGCAUCGCGAGUCCUUGAUUCAGGUGGGUUUGUCUGCACUGCGCCCCUGCCCCCAGGCACUCCUGCUGGCCGGCUUUGGCAAAUGUGAGGGUUGCGCAACAGCCAGCACACCUCUGUGUGAACAGCAGCCCCUCCGAGUGGGAGCCACGGGAGGGUUUUUCCCCUCUCAUUUUUGUUCAGUCCCCAAGAUAGGCAGCUCCUCACUCCUAAGAAGCCUGCCUUUACUCAAGUGAGAAAAACCAUGUUUUUCCUAACAUAUUUCUCAGCCCACGAAAAGCAGAUUUUGGGGGACGAUACAGAUGCAGGCAGUUGCUUGGAGCGUCUUCUUCCACAUGAAACGGAUGCCAAAUAGUGGGUUUCAGUUUCGUGCCAGGUCGUCCCCCUGGGGCUCAGGAUGCUAUCGCCCAGUUUUGCUCUGAUUUGGUCCUGGGACAGAAUUGGGAGCCCUGGCCCUCAUUCCCACCCCGAAGCCCGCGUGUGUGGCUCUCCGGCGCCUGGAGGGAGGGACGCCCCAGGUUGGGUUGGAGCGGUUCGCGCCCUGCAAGUCAGCAGCGGGCAGAGGCACGGGGACAUCUGCACACGUCCACGUUCAUCUUCGGUCCCUUGAGGCCUGGCACCUAAAGGAACCAGCGUGGCCACUGGCACGGGUUACAGCCCUGUCCCAGGAACUUAAGCACGCUGCCGGUGCAGCCAAGAAAUAGUUUUGAGAAGGUUCCGACUUGGGAGUUGAGUGUAUGAAGUUGAGUAACUUUAUUCCUGGACUAAACCCCGCCUGCCCAUCCGGUUGUGGGUCCGCAGUUAGUCAGCGACACCAGGUGCUGCUUUGCAGUUGUGCGUGUGAGGGUGAGAGCAGGGCUUCCCCUGCAGCCGGGACGGUUCGUGGAUCCGCCUGGACUGGGGUGCUUCCGUGCCCUGGAGAGCCCCGCUGUGCGCGGGGUCCUCACCCGGUGUGCCCUGGAGGCGAGUAACGGAGCCGGGAUGACUGGUAAUCAAGUCAAGACUGAAGUACGAGGUGUGUCCGAAUCGCUUCUCUCCGAGCCUUGUGCUCGUGAGACUGGUCCCGGCCCAGAGGAGGAGGCUCAGUGGCGUGUUGUCUGCGGCAAGGCCCUGACCUCCACACGGAGGCUGCUUGGGUCACUCGCCUGCCUCAUCUUGGGGGAGCCUCGGUGGGUUUAAGUCCUCUUCAUCCCGAAGAGGCCCGACACGCCAGAAUGAAACCCCUGCCCCCUGAGGGCGCUCCCCACCCCCACUCCCGGCUGCAGAGGCGGUGGGUUCAGGUGAGACCGGCUGGUAGCUGCAGUCUGUGUCCCUUGUAGAGAACCACUGAGAGCUGACAAGCACAUAGCGGGGCACAAAAUUCUGGUGGAAGUCAAUGCGGGUCCUUGAAAUUCGCAAGCUCACUUUUGCAGGUCCCAUUGUGGCUGAGCAGUAACGAACCUGACUAGUAUCCUUGAGGACGCAGGACGCAGGUUCAAUCCCUGCCCUUGCCCAGUGGGCUAAGGAUCCUGUGUUGCUGUGGCUAUGGUGGAGGCCGGCAGCUAUAACCCUGAAUAGACCCCUAGCCCGGGAACUUCCAUAUGCUGCAGGUGUGGCCAUAAAAAAGACCAAAAAAAAA